rnacentral:rRNA from 1 species
CCUACGGGAGGCAGCAGUGGGGAAUAUUGCACAAUGGGCGCAAGCCUGAUGCAGCCAUGCCGCGUGUGUGAAGAAGGCCUUCGGGUUGUAAAGCACUUUCAGCGAGGAGGAAAGCUUAAGCGUUAAUAGCGUUUAGGUGUGACGUUACUCGCAGAAGAAGGACCGGCUAACUUCGUGCCAGCAGCCGCGGUAAUACGAGGGGUCAAAGCGUUAAUCGGAAUUACUGGGCGUAAAGCGUACGCAGGCGGUUUGUUAAGCGAGAUGUGAAAGCCCCGGGCUCAACCUGGGAACUGCAUUUCGAACUGGCAGACUAGAGUCUUGUAGAGGGGGGUAGAAUUUCAGGUGUAGCGGUGAAAUGCGUAGAGAUCUGAAGGAAUACCGGUGGCGAAGGCGGCCCCCUGGACAAAGACUGACGCUCAUGUACGAAAGCGUGGGGAGCAAACAGGAUUAGAUACCCUGGUAGUCCACGCCGUAAACGAUGUCUACUCGGAAUUUGGUGUCUUGAACACUGGGUUCUCAAGCUAACGCAUUAAGUAGACCGCCUGGGGAGUACGGCCGCAAGGUUAAAACUCAAAGGAAUUGAC